AUUGAACGCUGGCGGCAGGCCUAACACAUGCAAGUCGAGCGGUAGAGAGGUGCUUGCACCUCUUGAGAGCGGCGGACGGGUGAGUAAUGCCUAGGAAUCUGCCUGGUAGUGGGGGAUAACGCUCGGAAACGGACGCUAAUACCGCAUACGUUCUACGGGAGAAAGCAGGGGACCUUCGGGCCUUGCGCUAUCAGAUGAGCCUAGGUCGGAUUAGCUAGUUGGUGAGGUAAUGGCUCACCAAGGCGACGAUCCGUAACUGGUCUGAGAGGAUGAUCAGGCACACUGGAACUGAGACACGGGCCAGACUCCUACGGGAGGCAGCAGUGGGGAAUAUUGGACAAUGGGCGAAAGCCUGAUCCAGCCAUGCCGCGUGUGUGAAGAAGGUCUUCGGAUUGUAAAGCACUUUAAGUUGGGAGGAAGGGUCGUUACCUAAUACGUGACGAUUUUGACGUUACCGACAGAAUAAGCACCGGCUAACUCUGUGCCAGCAGCCGCCGUAAAAC
rnacentral:rRNA from 1 species